GCUGCAAAAUCAUUUCAAAUUAUACCUGAAAGACUAAAACAGCUUCCCCAACUUUGCAAAAUCCAAGUUCCUGUUCCUCUUGACCCCACUGUGGAUUGCAACACUGUGCCAUGAUGCUCUAUGGAGUUGGAGAUGUGAAAUAAACAAUGGGGAAGCAAGCACGCAA